UUGAGGGAUGUAUAGUACUCUUAUGAGGCUAGUUGUGUUUGUGUAUAACAUAACACCAACUACGUUGGAUAAAAUUCUAGAUAGAAUACUGAUUAUGACUAUUUUCUAUCUACAAGUCUUGACCAAAUUACGUGCCAGCAGUCGCGGUAAUACGUAGAAGACGAGUGUUAUUCAUCUUUAACAGGUUUAAAGGGUACCUAGACGGUAUUAUUAACCCACAACAGGGAAAUAUUUUUACUAGAGUUUUAUAUAAGAAGGGGGAAUUUAGAGAGUAGGGAUAUAAUCCUUUAAUACUCUGAAGACUGGUAAUGGCGAAAGCACCCUCCUAUGUAACAACUGACGUUAAGGGACGAAGGCAUGGGGAGCAAACAGGAUUAGAUACCCUGGUAGUCCAUGCAGAUAAUUAUGAAUGCCAUAGACUAGAUAUAUUUUAGUUUAUAAAUGAAAGUGUAAGCAUUCCACCUCAAGAGUACUGUGGCAACGCUGGAACUGAAAUCAUUAGACCGUUUCUGAGAACAGUAGUGAAGUAUGUUAUAUAAUUCGAUAGUCCUCGUAAAACCUUACCACAAUGUGAAUGGUGUCAAAAUUAAUUUAAUCGCUUUCUGACCUAAGGGACCUCAAAAGCGGGCAACGCAGUUUGUCAUGGAAAGUCUAUGUAAAGGUGCCAGUUCUGGCUGGUUGUAAAUAAUGAUGAAAUAGAUCCAAAUAUUAAACUAAUAAGGAUGAUACAGGUGUUGCACGGUUGUCUUCAGCUAAUGUCGUGAGAUUGUGGUUAGUUCCAUAAAAUUAGCGUAAACCCCGGUUUUAUUUUUUAAUUAUUAUGAUAAAGCAGUUCGUCACGUAUAUCGAUAUUGAUAA
rnacentral:rRNA from 1 species